AGACAGGACUGUCUAGAAAGAGGAGCAGACCUGGUGAUCAUAAACAGCAGAGAGGAACAGGUGAGAGAGAGAGAGAGAGAGAGAGAGAGAGAGAGAGAGAGAGAGAGAGAGAGAGAGAGAGGAGAGCAGACAGGACUGUCUAGAAAGAGGAGCAGACCUGGUGAUCAUAAACAGCAGAGAGGAACAGGUGUGAGAGAGAGAGAGAGAGAGAGAGGAGAGAGGAGAGCAGACAGGACUGUCUAGAAAGAGGAGCAGACCUGGUGAUCAUAAACAGCAGAGAGGAACAGGUGAGAGAGAGAGAGAGAGAGAGAGAGAGAGAGAGAAGAGAGGAGAGAGGAGAGCAGACAGGACUGUCUAGAUAGAGGAGCAGACCUGGUCAUCAUAAACAGCAGAGAGGAACAGGUGAGAGAGAGAGAGAGAGAGAGAGAGAGAGAGAGAGAGAGAGAGAGAGAGAAGAGAGGAGAGAGGAGAGCAGACAGGACUGUCUAGAUAGAGGAGCAGACCUGGUGAUCAUAAACAGCAGAGAGGAACAGGUGAGAGAGAGAGAGAGAGUAGAGAGGAGAGAGGAGAGCAGACAGGACUGUCUAGAAAGAGGAGCAGACCUGGUGAUCAUAAACAGCAGAGAGGAACAGGUGAGAGAGAGAGAG
ensembl:lncRNA